UGAUGAUCCUCCGAGAAUCUCGGGUCGUUCCAGGAGCCCAGACGCAGAGCCCUCCUAAGGUUAACCCCGGGCCUUGUUCUACGGGCGGGCGCCACUUCUGCACGACCCCGGCCAACUCUAAAACAAAAAAAGAGAGGCUAGGGCCCCUUCCUCCUUUAAAACGCAAGCUUUCUCUUAGCUUUAUACCCACCACUGACGGCAGGCUUCCUCGAUGCGGAUUCAUCGAGGAGCUCUCCCGCACGGUCGGGCCCCCCAGCUUAACCGGACCGUGAUAUUCGCUAAGAAAGGGCGCGCCAUUCUACAAUCGCUUCCGGCAGCUGACCGACCGCCUGCGGGACUCCGGGCUGCAGAAGCACUGGAUGCAGCACGUGGUGGAGGGCUACAGCAGACGGAAAAGAGCAACAACGAACUUCACCUACGACAGUUCUAGAGAGUACUCCAAGGACAGCUCGGUGCGGGUGGUGCUGGGACUCUCACACUUGGAUGCCGCCUUCUAUCUGUUAUUCCUUGGCAAUGCAUUGGCUUUGUUUACCUUCCUCGUGGAGAUCAUCACCGCAUGUUGACAAAUCAUACAUCACUGUAUCUAUUGUUCAAGGGGGCAGGAUGGCUUAGCAGUCAGUGCAAAAGACUGAUGUGGUGAUUCCAUAGUCCCGAGUUGAAGUCCUGCCGCUACCAGCUGAUAUUCUCAAUUCUCGCCAAGAGGCUGAAGAUCGCCCACAGGCUGUCUAGGUGUGCAUCAAUCAUCCCGACCUUCAGAUCGGCGACAGCUGUCAGGGAAAGCACUGGGGAGCAGCAUGUGCCAAGCAGGGAUAUAUUAUUGGGUCACCAUUAAUUAAAACAAAUCUGCCUGUGACACUAGUAGUUUGCCUGGCCUCCGGUGCCCAGCAGGAAAGAUAACUGAUGUUUUGUUGUUGCACGAAAAUGAAAGAAAAUAAAUUGUUUCACUCUGUUCCA